GUAGGCUCAGGGCCUUUACCCUCGGAGAGUGGGCUCAGGGCCUUUACCCUCGGAGAGUGGGCUCAGGGCCGCGGGGCCUUUACCCUCGGAGAGUAGGCUCAGGGCCACGGGGCUUUUUUUCUCCUGUUUUUGUCCUUUUUAGUGUUUUGAUCUUGUUCCUCCAGGCCUCUGGGAUGUAUUCUGGAUGGGUGUGAUGAUGUCAUAAUCUGUCGACCUCUAGUAUGAUGUCAGUCUGUAUUGACUACUGUAUGUGUCUGUGUGUCUCGUCUCAAUAAAGCUGCAAUGUCUCCGUAUCUCAUCCCUCCAGGUGAUGCCUUCCCAGCAGCCUCCAGUCCCUUCCUGCCGGGCUAUUCCGGCCCCUCCCCCCUAACCUCUGACCCAGCCUACAGAUCACCCAAUCAGAUGGCUCAGCUCUGGGCCUCACACGCUGCUGCCCACGAAGGCUACGCCCCUCUCCCAGGCGGUCUGUACCCCAGCCCCUACCACCUCCCCCUGGGUAACCUGGAGCCUCCUCCCCCCUCGCUGGGCUUGGCUCAGCACCACCACCUCUACAACGCACCACACCAAGGUAGGCUAGUUGAGAACAAGUUCUCAUUUACAACUGCGACCUGGCCAAGAUCAAGCAAAGCAGUGAGACACAGACAACAACAACAGAGUUCCACACAAACAAACGUGCAGUCAAUAACACUAACGAGAAGUCUAUGUACGGUGUGUGCAGAUGUAGAAGAGUAGGGAGAGAGGUUCUUUCUGCCGGUGUCGUUACCCCAGCCGCCUCUUCAACCCUCCUCCGUCCCCCCCAGUUCCACCCCCCAGAGUAGCUCCCGGGAGGGGGGCAGGGACCGAGACAUACUCUACCGCGAGGAGAGGGAGAGAGAGGAGCCUCAGGAGGGGGGCAGAGCCCGAGACAGACUCUACCGUGUGGCGAGGGAGAGAGAGGAGCCCCAGGAGGGGGGCAGGGACCGAGACAGACUCUGCUGUGAGGAGAGAGAGGAGCCUCAGGAGGGGGGCAGGGACCGAGACAGACUCUACCACGAGGAGAGAGAGGAGCCCCGGGAGGGGGGCAGAGACAGACUCUACCGCGAGGAGAGAGGGCGAGGCGAGAGGGAGCGGUCGAGAGAGGAGCCUCGUCCAUACAGUGUGGUAGAUCUGACACAGGAUGGGAGGAGUGGAGAGAGAGAACGCCACAGAGAACGAGAGACUGAGCGAGACAGAGACCGAGAGAGAGAGGUUCUCCUCCACCACCCCUCUGCUUCUCGACCCCCCAGGGCUCCUCCUCUUCUGGGCGUUACCCAGAGACUGAUGACACACCCACUCGCUCCCCCAACCCUAACCCCAGCCCCCACACACACACAGACAGGCUGAGGAAGACUGAAUCUACCUACAGCGGUGCACUCCUUCCUGGCCCCGCCUACCCUGCACACCGGGAGCCUAUCAGGGAACAGCGUGUGAGCGCGCCCACUUACGUGCCUUCUGUGGAGGUCUAUGAUGAGCAGGUCGGCCCGAUCCAGAUCGCAUCGCAGGCCAGGGACAAACAGGACAAACUGAAAGAGAGAGAGAAAGAGAGAGAGAA
ensembl:lncRNA